AUCCAUUCUCUUUUCAGCUUAACCAGUUUAAGCGAGUUUCUGACAAUGACAACUGGGAGUGCUGCAUGGAGUGUGCCCAGGCCUGGAGGAAACCAGCCAGCGGAGCUUGAGAUGGUGAAGGGUGAAGCCCCACUGAAUGGGACUAAGCCAGUGCAGUGGAUCCCAGGAGACUGCAAUCCAAACAGGAACCACACCAGUGAAACCUAGUACAUGGCCUCUCUUGGCCCCUGGGUUCUCAUUUCUGAGUCAGUGUAACACUGAAGGAGCCCUGGAUGGCGUUCACGGGCUGGGCUCCGGGCUUGUCCCUGGCCUGCCGAGGGCCUUGGUUGAACAGCUGUCCCUCUGUGGAGACUAACUUCCCAUCUGCCUCGUGAGGUUAAUAUGCAUCUGCCCUGAGAGCAUCCAGCGUGGAAUUGGACAGAGGCACAAAUAAGUGGGAUCCUGGCAUCUAUGGUAAUGACCCCAAAGUCCUGUUCCUCAUUUGAAAACUCCUUUUUGCUCCCCAAGGGAUUACCCAGCACCUACCUGGAGGAGAAGGCCUAGAAACCCUCAGGCUGAGUUCUGCUUGAGCCAUGGUGGAGGCAGUACAAGAUGGCUCCGACGUUGAGUCUCUCCAGAGUAGACCCCAGCAUUCCUGGCUGAGUGACCCUGCGCACACCAUUUACCCUUCUCAAAGCUUCAGUUCCAUCACAUAUAAAAUGGAGCUGAUAAUUGUAACUACUUCCUAGUUGUGAAAGGACUUAAUGAGAUAAUGCCUAUCAGGUGCUCUGACACACAGAAGUACUCAAUACAUUCUUUUUACUAUUGUUAUACUUAUUGGCAUCCAUACAGCAUGCUGCAUUUCCUUAAAGGGCUUGUACAUGCAUAAUCCUAACCGUACCCAUGUGAGGGAGAAUUUAAAGUACCAUUGUCUGUAGGAGGAUACUGAGAUUUGGAGACAAAGGGACUUAUCCAAAGUCACAGAGAUAAGUCCAAAGCCAAACACUGGGCAUGUCUCAUUCUUGCAUAUCUCUGACCAACACCAGCCUGCUCUGGAUUUCUGCUCUGAGGCAGAUCACAUCUCUUGAAGGGAGGGUGUCACACAAUCAACGAAUUUUGAAUGAAGAUCUGAAGACCUGGGUGCUCAGCCUUGGGCUAGGGUCAUGGGGGAGAUAAGAGAAGAGGGAGUUGAAGGGAGGUCCCUGGAAGUGAACCUCACUUGGGGACCUCCUCUCAUCCUUCAAAGCUCAGCACAGACCUCCCUCAGGGAAUCCUUUGCUAAGGAAGGAAGUGAAAGGAGCUGAGUCUUCCUGAACAUCCACUAUGGGUCAGGCAUUUACCUGUUAUCUUAUUUAGUCCUUGAAAGACCCAUAUCUCUGAUGAAAGAUAUGAGGAUAAGGAGUUUCACGGAAUUACCCAAGGUCACAGCUGGGGUGUGGUAGAGCUAGGGCGUGGCCCCAAGUCUACUGAAGGCAUCCUGGGCUCUACUUUUUGCCCAGUACCAGUUCUUUCAGUGAUAAUUGGGACCCCAACAUGCUCACAUCUUGGCUUUUGCAAGGAGUCAUCUUGUCAUUGUUUCCUUGCUGUCCCUUUAGAUCAAACUCCUUGAGGGCGAGGACCAUAGUACCCACCUUUGAUCCUCUACUACCUAGCCCACGGUUGGCCCAGAGAGGGAGCAGAGGAGAGUCUUGAUAGAAAAAUGAAUGGAGUGUGGAAAAGGGGGUUGGCUGUGGUAUAAUUUGU
rnacentral:lncRNA from 1 species